rnacentral:lncRNA from 1 species
CAGCCAGUUCCCCAAGUAAACUCCCUGCUCACACGCCUGAUAGCUUGUUGGUUCUGUCCCUUUGCGGGACUUUCACUACCACUCUCGAACUCACACACAGAGGAAAGAGUGUUACGGGAGAGAUGGAGCAGUCCACUCCAAGAACAUUCUUAUCCUAUGGAUUACGAGAAUUGCCUGAGACAGUUUGGGGAUGGGCAUAGAACUACGCUAGGAACUUCUUCAAACACUGCUGAGGACUUCACGGCUGAAAGCCAAAUAUUCAGUCCCCCUGGGAUUACAAGAGUGUUGAAGCAACGUUGUGACAUGUCGG